rnacentral:snRNA from 1 species
UUACUUACCUAGCAGGGGUGACUCCAUGAUGAAGCAGGUGGAUUGCCUAGAGUGAGCUGCGGCGCUCUGACCUCUAUGAAUUCUCCACAUGUGAGGAUCUCAACUGCAUAAUUUCUGCUAGUGGGUACUGCGUUGGCGCUUUCCCCGG